rnacentral:rRNA from 1 species
CCUACGGGUGGCAGCAGUGAGGAAUAUUGGUCAAUGGGCGCGAGCCUGAACCAGCCAAGUAGCGUGAAGGAUGACUGCCCUACGGGUUGUAAACUUCUUUUAUAAAGGAAUAAAGUGAGGCACGUGUGCCUUUUUGUAUGUACUUUAUGAAUAAGGAUCGGCUAACUCCGUGCCAGCAGCCGCGGUAAUACGGAGGAUCCGAGCGUUAUCCGGAUUUAUUGGGGUUAAAGGGAGCGUAGGUGGGUUGUUAAGUCAGUUGUGAAAGUUUGCGGCUCAACCGUAAAAUUGCAGUUGAUACUGGCAGUCUUGAGUACAGAUGAGGUAGGCGGAAUUCGUGGUGUAGCGGUGAAAUGCUUAGAUAUCACGAAGAACUCCGAUUGCGAAGGCAGCUGAC